GUCUAUGGCUAUGCCACCCUGAACAAGCCGGAUGUCUGAUCUUGGAAGUCGGACCUGGUUAGUACUUGGAUGAGUGAUCACCUAGGAAGAAUAGGUACUGUAGGCA
rnacentral:rRNA from 1 species